AGUUCACCCCCGGAAGAGAUAUUUAGCGGUACAUUCUUGAAGUUGCUAGCGGAAGAUAAACAGAAACACUGUUCAACAUGGCAGAGACCCACAGCCUGCAGGACAUGAGGCAACAGGCAGCCAUCGCUGCCAAAGUCUUCCUCCAGAGAGAUUACACGAUCGGCACCGUGUGCCAGUUCCAAACCAAGUUCCCCUCUGAGCUGGAGACCAGGAUUGACAAACAACAGUUUGAAGAGACUGUGCGGACGCUCAAUAACCUGUAUGCUGAAGCUGAGAAGCUGGGAAGUCAGUCAUAUAUCGAAGGCUGUCUGGCCUGCCUCACAGCGUAUACCGUCUUCCUGUGUAUGGAGACUCACUAUGAGAAGGUUUUGAAGAAGAUUGCCAAGUACAUUCAGGAGCAGAACGACAAGAUCUAUGCGCCACGAGGCCUCCUGCUCACAGACCCCAUCGAGAGAGGCCUGCGAGUUAUUGAGGUCACCAUCUUUGAAGACAGAAGCCUGACGAGAUAAAAGCUGCCACGUUCACUGUCCAGAGCACACCCACACACACAAGCCAAAUCCAGCAGCUGAACCCAAACACUGCUGUUUGGCUGAGCGGAGCAGCCCACUACCAGUGCCCACCUCCCAGAGGACCACCCAGUCCUGUACCCUGAAAACUGCGUCUCUACAAUCUGUCCCUUCCCACGAGCUGUCAUGGGCAUGUCCCAUUCAGAGUAUGCUUUAUGACCAAGUUUAAAAUAAGGUACCAUGACAGUUAUUCAUGUUAUUUUAUCAUAAUUUGAGAUAUCUCUGUCUCUAUUUAAUAGUUCAGAGUUACAGUCUGUUAUAUUAAGUUGGACAAAGGUAAAGAAUGUUAAAUACUGAUAGACUGACUCACUAAAGCAUUGCUGAAGCCAUAAGUAAUUAACCUUUGUUCAUUUUGGACUACAUAUAUUAGUACAUGUGGAAAUAUCAACUUUUACAUAUUUCUUUCAUUUUGGAUUGUUCUUUUUUUAUUUUUGAAUAAUGAAGCCAAAACACAGGGUAACUAAUUUUAAUAUUGGUUUGUACAACUCCCCCACUCCACACACAUGCUUUAAGUGAUUGUCUUGGCAGAUCUGAGGAAAUCUAUUACACAAAUAGUUGUGAACUCUGGUUAUAUGCAUGUGCAGCAUGUUACAGUCCAUUUGCGUUUAUGCUUAUUGAUGUAUCUUUUCUCCAAGGGUGCUUAACAGUGAUAUCACCUAUCCGGCAUGUAUCUUUUUAUGGGCUUUGACCUUGAAUUUAUCUGUCGGCUGAACUUUGUCAGCCUCCAAACAUUCAAGUCAAACUAGACAAAUUUGAGUAUCUAUGUACAUCUUUCUUAUCUAUGUGUUGAUUCUUCUGUCGCUCAAAGCCUAACCCUGUGCUUGCUCUGCAUUUUGUAUGUACCAUUGUUAAUACUCCUUUCCCACCUGGUUAUUUUUAUUUAAACUGUGCCAUGCAUAGUGUUUGGUGACUACUGUUGAUUUUUGACUCAUUCACUCUAAUAAGCAUAUAUGUAUUUAUACAUUAUUGAUAUUGCCUAUGACUAUAUUAAAAGUGCUCUUGUUAGUUGACAGUGCCUGUAAUGGCUUUGAAUGUUGCCUUUGUGUCAAUCUGAAGGCCUGGUCACAUCAGGAUUUUACAGAAAUUUCAGAUUUAUUCCAGUGGCAUCAGUGUGAUUCAUAAAAGUUAAGCACAAAUGUUUUUGUAUUAUGCACACAGAUUUGUACUGCUGACAAAUUGAUCUCGACACUUUGAAGGAAAUGAGAGGCGAAGACUCCAAAGUGGAGGAAGCUGUACUAGCUUAUUAGCUUAAAGUGAACCUUUGCUAACGUCCUCUUUUGGAGAAAUAACUACUACUCCCAUGAAAAAAAAAAGUUUGCAAACAGAGAGUCAAUGGUACAAAUAUAUAAUUUGUCAUAAAAUUUUAUUGCUAUUAGCUACCUAGCUAAGCUAAAGGAGCAAACAAUGUGCUAUAUGAAUGUUGGCUUAGCUCUUCGUGAUUUAUUUUUCAUCUAGAGCUAAUAUUUUGCUACGCCAUGCUGAGGUUUUUUCUCUUCAACACUCUGAUGUGACCAGGUCUCAACAGUAAGAACAUGUCAGCUCUGGACUUUUUCUCAAGCAACAGAAUUCCAGGAUUAGGAUUAUUGUGUGUCUGUAACUUGAGCAGAAGAAUUGGUAUCUGUGAAACCUCAAGGUUGAAUAUACUGUCUUACUUACAGCUGGAAAUAUUUUGAUGACAUCUGGUGAAAGUGGUGGACAGGAACUCAUUUUAAUUAUGAUGUAACAACAUGUUCAAGUAUUUUUAUUAUUGCCAUCGCUAAAGGAUGAACACUGAAUUACAGUUAUGUAAACACAGUGUCAGCUCAUACUUAAUUCAUCUGGAGUUCAGUUAAUCGAACUGUUCUAGGUUCUUUUUUUCAGUUGAAAUUUCAAUGUGUUAUUAAUCCAGUUGUAGUUUCAUGAAUAAAAUUGGUACAUAUUUUA